rnacentral:rRNA from 1 species
AUGGGUAGGAAAUCGACCCUUAAUUUUGCUCCGUCCGCGGCGGCGGCGGCGGCAGGAAGGAAGCGAAAAGGAUCCACCUUUGCCCCGCUGCCCGCGUGCAAGCGCAGAGCACCGGCGCAGCCAGCCGGCGGCUGGGCGUCCCUGCCCACGGACAUAGUAGGCCUCGUCACCCGCCGGCUUCUGGGCGAGGGCGACGGCGACGUGGUCGACUACAUCUGCUUCCGCGCCGUCUGCUCCUACUGGCGCGCCUGCACGCCCGCGCCUCGCGACUCCGACCUGCGGGACCCUCGCCUCCGCCCGCGCGGCUGGGUCGCGCUCUGCGACGGCGACGCCGUCCGCCCGGACGACGCCUGCGAGAUCGCCUUCUUCCACACGCGCACGGCCAGGCGCCUCCGCGUCCCCCUGCCGGAGCUCCGGCGGCACAGGGUCGUCGGCUUCACCGACGGCCUCGUCGUCCUCUUGCACGAGCGCACCAUCGCGGUCCGCGUGCUGCACCCGUUCACGUGCGACGCCGUCGACUUCCCGCCCCUCCUCACCAUGUACCUCCAGGUGGUCAGGCAGAAGGCGUCCCUGCUCGACAUGAACGCCGCGGUGUGCAGCAGCGCGUCCUCCUCCUCCGCAGACUCCUCCAUCGCCGUGGUGGUCUGGUUCCCCUACACGGACGUGGUGCUCGCCGCCGACCCGGGCUCGUCGGAUUGGGAGGUCCUCCACCGAGGGUUCUACGUCGGGUGCGCCCUGCCCUUCCAAGGAAGGCUCUACGCCACCAUGUCGUGCUCGAGCGAGAUCGUGCAGUUAUACCCUCCGAGACGCAAAGCUGUACCGCUGGAGAACCAUGUCGUGAUUGCUCACGCUCCACAUUCCGCCGACCGCGAAGUCUGUACUUUUUACCUCGCGGAGCUCUACGUGGUGGAUCUAAACGGCAGCCAACGCCGUAAGCUUAUCCCGGUGAAGAACAUAGGUGACACCGCGCUGUUUCUCAGCGGCGACCGAUGCCUGUCUGUUUCAGCCAGGGAUCUACCUUCUUUGAGCAGCAACUCCAUUUACUUCACUCUACCACAGUACCCCAUUCUGGUGCUUUCGCUGGGGACUGGUUUGUCCGAGCGACUGGCAGACUCCUGCCAGAUACACGACGGGAAGGAGAGGAUCCGCCCCUCUGUGCGCCCCUUCACCAUUGUUGAUCAUCUUAUCACCUACUGCAAUCCUCGCGAGUGGAGUAAAGGGCUCAUGUUCCACGAGUACCACUAUAUACCUCGAUCUUUCGAGGAACUGAUCAAGAAAAUAAGGGCUCAAGAAAGGGAACUGCGGCUUCCACGCAUCGCUUUUCAUUCGCGCUGA